AAUGAAUUCCUGCCUUUUCCAGUGGUGCCAGCCGAAACCUCGCUGCUGAACAAGCUGAUCCGCACAUCCCUGGUGGAGUCCUGCCACAACGUAGAGAUCCUGCAGCGGGACCCCAGCUCCCCACUCUACUCCAUCAAAAGCUUCGAGGAGCUGCCCCUGAAAAAGGAGCUUUUGCAGGGUAUUUACAUGAUGGGCUUCAACAGACCAUCCAAAAUCCAGGAGACAGCUCUGCCGAUGAUGCUGGCGUACCCGCCCCAAAAUCUGAUUGCCCAGAGCCAGUCAGGGACAGGGAAAACAGCAGCUUUUGUCUUGGCCAUGCUGAGCAGAGUUAAUGCCACCGAGAAAUACCCGCAGUGCCUCUGCUUGGCUCCCACCUACGAGCUGGCGCUGCAGAUCGGGUGCGUGAUCGAGGGCAUCGGGCGGUUUUGUGCUGACAUCAGCGUGGCGUACGCGGUCCGGGGGAACAGAGUCCUGCAGGGCACUGUGCUAAAGGAGCAGAUCAUCAUCGGGACACCGGGAACGAUGCUGGAUUGGUGUUUCAAACAGAAGGUUGUGGACCUGAAGAAGAUCACCCUCUUCGUGCUGGAUGAAGCUGACAUUAUGAUCGACACGCAGGGCCUCUCCAGUCAGAGCAUCCGCAUCCAGAGGGUUCUCCCCAAGAGCUGCCAGAUGCUGCUGUUCUCGGCCACCUUCAAGUCAACCGUGCGGGAGUUUGCUGAGAAAAUCGUCUCCAACCCCAUCAUGAUAACGCUGCGGGAGGACGAGCUCACCCUCAGCAACAUCCGGCAGUACUUCUUUGUGUGCAGGAGCAGGGAGGAGAAGUACGAAGCUCUCUGCAACAUCUAUGGCAGCAUCACCAUCGGACAGGCCAUGAUCUUCUGCCAGACACGGAGGAGUGCCGACUGGCUGGCAGUGGCCAUGACCCACGAUGGACACCAGGUUGCCAUCCUGACAGCAGAGCUGACGGUUGCCCAUCGUGCCAACGUCAUCCAGCGCUUCCGCAGCGGGAAGGAGAAGGUCCUCAUUGCCACUAAUGUCUGCGCCAGAGGCAUCGACGUGCAGCAGGUCACCAUUGUGGUGAACUUCAGCCUCCCCACCAACCUGCAGGGAGAGCCUGACUUCGAGACCUACCUCCACCGCAUCGGGCGCACGGGGCGCUUCGGGAAGAGCGGCAUCGCCUUCAGCAUGGUGGAGAGCCAGGACGUGGCACUCGUGGAGAUGAUAGAGAAGCAUUUCCGUGAGUAUCCGUCCAUAUCCACCUCUCCUGGGGUGGUUUGGGGAUUGGGAUCCCCCCUCCAGCCUGUUUCCCAGCUCACAUGGACCUUGCUGGGCUGCCCCUUUAGCCCAUCACUCUUCUAGGGUUGGGAUUUUUCCUCCCUUGCAGCAACAUUUCCAGACAACCAGCCAAGGAACUUGUGUGUGUGACUUGAGAGGGAUAUUUCACAUACCCAGGAUGCCUCACAUCGCUUCUUUUUCCUCCUUCAGGCAUUUUAUCUGCCCUUACCUGGCAAAACCACAUCCCAGGGAUGUGGUGUCCAUGCUGCAGUAUUGAAGCUGGCAGCUGAAAUGGUGCCUGAGUGUUUCCUGAGUGGAAAUAGAUUCCACUUGGGAAUAUCAAGGGGGUUUUUCAUGGCAUGUGCAAAAUCCUGUGGCUGCACUGGUGGCUUUUCAAGUCCUGGUGUGUUUUCCCUGUGAUUUUUAUGGAAAAGCAGGUUAUCAAAACCUUUCGGUGUGUGGAAAACCACGUCCCUUCCUCAGUGCUGCCCAGCAGCUUGUCCUUUAAAUCCAAACCCCGAAGGAGCCCGUGGCAGAGCCUGGCAGGGCACACGUGAGCCAGAUACUCCGGCAAAGGCUUUUCCAAGCAGCAGAAGCACUGGAUAACUGCAGCUGGAAUACUGAGGAGGCCUAGUCCAACCAUGGAAUUGGCCAGAGGAGCCCAGCAGGGGAUGGAAAUCCAAGUGGAUGAGCUCCUGCCUGCAUUUUUGACGUCGUGACUUGAGGCUGGGGCUGCCAAACAAGGACAACGACCCUCUUCCCAUCCGGCAUCGCCUCGGAGAGACCAAGAUCAAGCAGCUGGACCCGGGCGACAUGGAUGAGAUUGAGAAGCUGGAAAACUGAGUGAGGAAAACUCGCCAGAUCCUAGUUUUGGUUCCGAACAAGGCAAAGUUGCUGGGAAAACAGUUCCCCAGUUCUCUUGGAACUCCCUGAAGUUGUUUGAUUUUGUUGUGAUGCUUGAGAAGACAGUGCAGUUACAGCCA